AUAGCGUAUAUUAAAGUUGUUGCAGUUAAAAAGCUCGUAGUUGAAUUUCGGGAUUGGCACAUCGGUCGUGCCUUAAGGGGUAUGAACUGGUGUAGUCAAUUUCUCACCUUCUGGAGAACCGCGAUGUCCUUAAUUGGGUGUCGCGGGGAACCAGGACCUUUACUUUGAAAAAAUUAGAGUGUUUAAAGCAGGCAUUUUGCUUGAAUACAUUAGCAUGGAAUAAUAAAAUAGGACGGCAUGAUUCUAUUUUGUUGGUUUCUAGGAUCACCGUAAUGAUUAAUAGGGAUAGUUGGGGGCAUUAGUAUUCAAUUGUCAGAGGUGAAAUUCUUGGAUCGCCGUAAGACGAACUACUG
rnacentral:rRNA from 1 species